rnacentral:lncRNA from 1 species
UAGGACCAUCCAUACCCUUGUUCUUGAAGCAUAGUAAAGCAUGACUUAAAAUGAACUCCUUUUUUUAUCAAUGUAUUGCAGAAAGCAAGUGUGGGGGAAGUGAUUCUUGUGUGUGUGUGUGUGUGUGUGCCAAAGUCCUUAAUAAGGCACGGGUAGAAAAGAAAAAAAAAAGAAUUGAAAAAAAAAAGUAUGAAAAGAGCUCUAAAGUGUUGUUUGUUAAAGAAAGGGUUCAAAACAUUGAAUUCGGCCCUAAGUGUUGCAUAAAUGUUCCCUUUGUAAUUAAAAGUUGAUUCUGCAUUCUAAAGUGAUUUCCAAGUGUCUAUUUCAUUGCUUUGCUUGCUAUCGCUUUAAGAACGUUUGUUAUCCCUAUUCUUUCUUUGUUAGCCAUUACCCCCAAGCCCUGUUACAUCCCUUGACUUCAAUCUUGAGUGUUGUGUGUUUCAAUUUGUGGAGUUCGAAAUUGGUAUGAGCAUAUGGUGUCACUGGUUCUCGCAUCUAAGUCGUAGCAUUCCAUUCAUGAGAUCAUAUCUAAACAUGCUUAAUAACUCCAGAAAAUUACUUUCUUUGUUAUAACAUAUGUGAGUCCUAAUCUUUCAUGUUUACAUCAAUCUUCUCACAUAUACUAGUAUAGGGUGUGUAGUCAGAAAAUGUGUGUGAAAAUAGAGAGUAUCUUGUAAGGAAUUGAGCAAAUUCUCUAAGGCAUGUUACUACAUUCAAAACAUUGUUUUAAUUGGUUAAUUGUAAACUAGUAAGUGGUGACUGUGAUUAAGUAUGUGCUCAAGUGUAAGGAUGACCAAAAUAUAUGGGAAUGAUGAUUUUUAACACAUCAUGUUUCAUUAAAAAUCCCUGAGGCAAUUGUUGGAAGGUCUAUGUUGUGUUUUGUUUUGUUUUGUUUUGCUCGAGGACUAGCAAAAGCUAAGUGUGGGGGAAUUUGAUAGGAGCAUAUUUAUGCGACU